GGGGGUAUAGCCCAGUGGUACAGCAUUUGACUCCAGUUACAGAGGCCCCUGGUGCAAAUCCUGUUGCCCCCC
rnacentral:tRNA from 1 species